CCCAUUUGCCUGAUUUUAUCAUGGAUGAUUCAUCCAUGGCUUUCACCACUGACCUCUCCCAGGGCCUGCCGAUAAUUUCAGGGACUCUUGGGAAUGCUCCUGUUUUAUUUGUGACCCCUGCCAGGAGCUAGUUUCUUCAGAGCCUUGGCCUGGCCCGGGAGCCCCGGGGUGGCACGCCUUGCAGGAGGGGGCAGCCAGGGACAGGGAGCAGCAGGAUUGCUAGCGGUGUGUUUCUGGUCGUGCAUCUCCAGACUUCUGCAUUUCUGUGGCAGCAGCCCAGCCCGAGGCUCAGGGUGAGGAGGCAUGCCUGGGCAUGUCUGGUGGGGCAGGCUGGUGAGGACGCCACUUGCAUGAAGACAGCAGGAUCCCUGGAGCCGAGACUGGACUCGGAGGCGUGUGCUUGGCUCAGAGUCUUCUUCAUCCAUAUGGCUUCUGCAGGCCAAGGCUUUCCACGGCUGGUGCCUGCUGCAUCUCAGUUCCAGAAUUCCGGGCUGGACUUCUCCCUAAUCAAGAGUGGACUGUGGCAGACCUACUCUCUCUGCCUGGAAGGUUCACUACAAUAUGUGGGCACCUAGAUACAUCAUAGCAAAAAUGCAAGUUCCUAUAGCUCCAUAUCUAGAGUUCUUGGUGAAGUCUAACUUUAAUACUGGAAAACUUCAGGUAUUAUCUCUCUGGACAUCACUUCUCUCUCAUUCCUUCUAUUCUUUUCUUCUGGAAUUCCUAUUAGCUCUAGGUUGGUGCCUGUCAGUCUACCUUCUAUGCCUCUUAAUUGCUCUUUCAUAUUUUUAAAAAAUAGAUUUUCUCUCUUUGUGCUGCAUUAUGGGUGAUUUCUUCAGUAUCAUACCACCUUCUAAUUAAUGAAUCUCUCUUGCACUAUGACUUCAUAGCAUUUAUCCAAUACUACUGAGUUUAUGUAUUUCAAUGCGUAUAUUUUUCAUUUCAAUUAGUUCUUUCUCAUAACUUGCUUUUGUUUAAUUUUGCCUAUUUUUUGCUUCAUAAUUUAUGUUUUUAUAUAUCGCUGUUAAUCACUCCUUUAUAUCUUCAAGGAUCCUAAAGAUUUGUUCAUAGCACUGUUACUACUUGGCCUACUAUGCAAUUUAAAAAAAAUUGUCUGUCUCUUCCACUAGAAUGUCAGUUCCAUGUGGGCACUUUCUUUUGGUUAUUGUUAUAUCCUCAGCACUUAAAACAGUAUCUAGGACAUUAUAGGCACUUAAAAUAUUUGCUGAAUAAAUAAUGUAUUCUUAUUUUAAAAGUCAAUCAGAUCACCUUACUAUUUUCAUUUUGUCUGAAGUGAAUUUGCUUCCUGCCAUUGCAUCAUUUUAAUUGCAAUUUUUGACUGCCUUUCUUAGUCUUUCUCUGAGGUGAGUUAUUGUUAGUAAUUUUAAUCUCUCUUGUGCUCGCCCCACCCAACCUAGUGGUUUUGCAGUUGCUUCCUCUUGGCCUCCACAGAACCAGAUUUUCUAUCGUCAGCUCAGGUAUCCAUGCUGUCAUGAUUUGGGGAUAUUGCUGAUCCCGUCCCUGGGCCAGGGGGCCAGGUUCCUCCUCAUUUGGGGUUAAGAAGCUUUGUAUAAGCCUCAGUCCCCGGAAGCGGUUUGUUAUGUAUUUCAUACCCCUGGUUCUUGCAUGUGAGAGCCCCACACAGCCCCUGGUUUGGGGACACCUCCUCACGUGGUAGUUCCCAUCUCACCACAGGAGAAAAGCUCCUCACUACCUCUGCCUGUUUCCUGCCCUGGAGCCUCAGUCCCACAGCAUCUUCCCAGCUUACAGUGUUGUGUCUCUACUGUACUGAUCCUCGGAGAUGUUGACCUUUUUGAGCAAGUCUUUGACUUUCAAUUCUUUAAUUUCUGUAUUUUAUCUGUUAUUGUUAAGUGUUUGGAGCAGAGGGGGGUUUAAAGCAUGAAUUCACAGCACCACUGUGCCUGCAAGUCCUAUAGUUACUACUCCCUUUGACUCCCCAUCAAGCCUGUGAUAACAGGGGGCUCACAGGCUUUGCUCUUGAAGGUACAGAAUGCUGAGGUUGUAGGAUGCCUUAGAGUUUACUUCACUCCACCUCCUCGUUUCACAGAGGAAGACUCCGAGGCCCAGUGAGUUGCUUCAGGCCACACAUUUCAUUAGUAGCAGAGCCAGGAAAAUAAACCUGACGCUACAGCCUGAGUGUUCGAACAUUUGCCUUUACACACAAUUUCUCAUUCAGAAUGGCUUUCCUGCUUUGCUGCUCUGUCUGAGCCUCACUCACAGUUUAAGGGUCAGCUCAGGCUCUGCCCAGUCAUCUGUGGUCUCCGCCUCCCCCGACAGCAUACAGCGCUUAACAGAGAGGGGAAAAGGAUCAGCUGUAACAAUCAUCACAGCAUUCCUUGUAAGAGCCGAGCCUGCGAGGUCUUCUCAGUCAAGGGGUGUGCGAAAGCUCACAUUUUUAUAUACGCUACUGCCCUCUAGUGGCCAUAGUGGGCAUCAAGUGUAUAAUCUGGAACCCUAAGUAAAGACGCCCCACGACGAGGUUGUCUCGAGCACAUUCAGGUUCCCAUAGUCAUGGCUUCCCUGCCCUGCGUGCAAACAUAAAUUCAAGUACUAUUUACUAGGUAUUUCAAUGCCAAAUAUAUAAGAUAUAUAUGAAUAUAAUCAGAAGCUAUAAUCUACCUCUGUGGCAUCUAACAUUCUCCAAUUGAUGCUGAUCAUCUAGGCAGCACUGUCCAGUAGAAAUAUAGUAUGAGCCAGACAGUAAUUUAAAUUUUUCUAUUAGCCUCAUUUUUUAAAAAAUAAAAAACAUGUUGAAUUCAUUUUAAUGAUAUAUUAAUAUAUCCAAAAUAUGAUCAUUUCAACAUGUAAUAAAUAUAAAAAUGACGAAGAUGUUAUACAUUCGUUUUUUGUACUGAGGUUUUGAAAUCUGGUGUGGAUUUUACACUUACAGCACAUCUCAGUUCAGACCAGCCACAGUGCUAGUGCUCAACAGCCCUGUGUAAGUAGUGGCCACUGAAUUGGACAGCCAAGGUCUAGGGCAGUGGGUUCCAAACUCUGUCUGUCCCUGUCAUUGCACUGUUUGUAGGUCCAUGAGGAACAUUCUGACCAAUCUGCAGCAAAAUGAGAAAAAUGUGAACCAUGUUUUUUUAAUAUAUAGGUCAAUGUGAGAUUAUCACCUAUCUUGUUUGAGGAAAUACUUGGAGGUUGUCCUUCUGACUUUGUCGGGGUUAAUAUACUCGUUCUUGUAUGAAAUGACGAUCAUAAGAGGUAACAGAUUAUUGAUCAAGUGUUCUUAUUUUGCAAAUAAAACAUUCAUGAUUCUCCCCAGGGCCCUGAACUUUGCAUGCACAUUUUGCUGGCGUGUGAUGUAUCAAAUCCUGGAAGUCACCACGCUAGGCGGCUUUUCCCCCCAGCUUGGACAAUUGACAGUCACAGAUGGGACAUGUGCCUGUGUGGCGAGGCUACUGGGCAAUUCUCAGAGUGUCUACUCUACACCUUUCUCUCUGUCUCACAAAGCACAAGGAAAUCUUCACACCUCAUUGAAAAUCCAAGCGAAUGAGCAUGAUGUGAAUAUAGGGGUAACUUGGAAUUUAAAGACCACAACUAAAAGAGAAGAGUAAAUCGUUAGCAAAGUUCAGUUAUUAGCAAUAAUUACAACAAAUUACUACUCAAUAGAACCUAAGACUUCGAUGCCACGCACCUGGAAGACGGCAUUGCAAUUUCGCGUGGCUGGUUUUAAAUGCAGAACAAUGGAAGCUGAUGACAUACUGACAGAGAUGCCACUGUUCUAUGGAAAAGGUCUUUGACAUCCUCGGGGCUUUACAUCAGGUGUAUCUGAAAUGCUGCUGCGUAGGUUUGCCUCACUGCAUGUGGCGGGGGGUGGGCGGGGGGGAGGCACAGAGAGGGAGGAGCCUCCUUUCUGUGAGCCAGGGGCUUCCCCCUCUGUACACACACAGAAGGAGCAUCUAUCGCAGUAGCUCCAAAUUGCAGUCUGGUCUCUGGGUCCCCUCAUCCCUGAUUGACACUCCCCUUGGCUCGCUGGUCUGCGCUGCGUGUCCUAUCAGGUCACAGCCCUACCCCAGGUUUUGAGGCUGAUCUUCAGGGUACCCUUAAAAUCUGUCUUCUGGCCACUACCCUGUUUAUAGACACAAGCCUUCAGCUUUCCGCUCAGCCUCACUAGCUACUCAUUAGCAGCUGUGUUUCUUUUUCAAAUAUAACCUUUAUGCUUGGGUCGUAAUGUGGAAAAGAUGCUGGCAAAUUGAAUUUUCGUAAAUCAAAUAAUUUUGAUUGCUCUGGGAGCUCAUUAUUUAAGAAAUCCUAUAGUGAGUUCUUUUGUAAAUUGAGUCAUCAGCCCUCUGUUUUAAAAAUUCAAAUUUUAAUAUAUUAUCUUGCCUGAGGGGGAUGAGUCCAUGCAUAUUAAAAAAUUAAAAGGAUGCAAAGAAAAGAUUGAGUCUUCAGUGCUCCCCCUCUAUAUUUAAACAGUGGUAUAUAAUCACAAUUAUCUAGCUCACAAGCAAUUACGCUAAGUAUUAAUGAAGGGACCCUAGUCAAAAACCACCCACGGGAAGCUUCUGCCCGAACGUCAGGGUUAAUGGCCCUGCCAUUGUUUUAAUGGAUUUUCAAUGAGGUGUAAAGAUGCCAGGCCAAGAAGGGUGAAGUUUUAUGAUGCAGCUAAACAAGCACGAUUAGCGUCUUGCCAUUAGUAUCUUGACCUCGUUUCUGUUUUCGUUUCUUUACAAUUCUGGUGAACUGAGUCCCUGGAGGCUUAUUUAUUAAUUUAUGUUUAACACAAUUCAUAGAGGCUUUGUUAACUCCAAGUACAGCUCUCAGGGUGUUAAUAAAGCUCCCUCCCUAGGGCUGUUUCAGUGGAGAGCCUGAGGUCCAUGGACUCUAAUGACCCGCCCAUUUCUGCUCUCCAUCAUUUCUUUCCAGGCGCUCUGGCCCUCUAGAUGCCCAGCCACCCAGCCUUGUCAUCUGGAGUGACCAGACCCUCUCUGGGAGGUGUGUGGCUGGUGGUUACGAACUCAGCCUCAAACCAAACCAUGUGGGUUUAUUUCCUGCCUUGACCAGCUCUGAGUCCACAUCCCUGAGCCCAGACCCUGUGCUAAACUUGCCUUGACUCCGCCCCUUGCACUUCUGGGGACUCAAAUUUUGUUCCUGAGCUCUAUUUCCUUGCUGAAUCCCCUCUCUCAGAAAGCCUGCCUGAACCCCUUAUUUCUUGUUUAGAAAAUUUGUCUCCUAACCUAGGAGUUGGCAAACCAUGGCCUGUGAGCCAUAUCUGGCCCACCGCCUGUUCUUGUAAAUAAAGUUUUAUUGCGACACAGCCAUUCUCAUGCAUUUACACAUGGUCUGUGGCUGCUUUCCUGGCACAACAGCAGCUGAGUAGUUGUGACAGAGGAAAUAUGGCCCUCCAGUCUAAAACAUUCACUAUCUGGCCCUUGACUGAAAAAGUUUAGUGUUCCUUGUCAGUGUGGGUUGAAUUAUGUCCUCUGAAAAAGAUGUGUUGAAUCUCCAGUACCUCAGCAUGUGGCCUUGUUUGGAAAUAGCAUUGUUAUAGAAGUAAUCACAUUAAAAUGAGGUCAUGAGGGUGAGCCCAAAUCCGAUAUGACUACUGUCCCUAUAAAAAUGGGAAAUUUGGACACAGAGUGUAUUAGCUAUGUUUUCUUAUUUUCUGCAUUUUUGAUGCUCUGGCAUCUGGGGCUUUGGUGACUGGAGUGGGACUGCCCCUCCCAGGGCUAGCCAGUCCCUAGAGAUAGCAAAUGACUUGCACAGAACCACGCCCUUCAUGCAUCCUCACCCAUCUGGGGCCCAUUCUCCAAACCACCUCCUCUGUCUGGCUCUUACGCUCCAGGAGGCAAUGGCAAUAUUCCUAAUCACCCAAGGGCAGUAUGGGACCACUAGGAGCACCCCCACAGCCCAGAGCCUGCUGACAUUAUUCAACCCAUCCAAUCCGAAACCUGCUCAGCUUGCGCACCUUGUUUUCCUCCUUCCUUCCCAUGAAAACCACAAUAAGGACUCCUGCCCACACUUUCUCCUCGCUCCUUCUGCCUCUUCAUCAGCGCUGCUGCUUCCCUGUGUGGCCCUGCGUGGCAUGCUGUGCCCCCUCCUCGUGGGAACUAUGAGUAACAAACUAUCUUUUCAAAGACAAUCGUCUCCUGAUCUGUUGGUCUCACCAUACCUGAAUAAAACCAAAAUCACAGACACAUUUCAAAACACAGAGACAGAGACACUCAGAGGGAAAGUAACAUAAAGACAUAGAGAAAGCGCCAUGUGAAGACGGAAGAGUGAAGUGAUGUAUCUGUAAGCCAAAGAACACUCAAGGCUACCAGAAGCUGGAAGAAAAGCGUGGAACAGUUCCUUCCCUAGCACCUUCAGAGGGAGCACGGCCCUGCCAACACCUUGAUUUUGGACUUCUGGCCUCUGGAAUGUGAGACAAUAAAUUUCUGUUGUUUGAAGCCACUAAGUUUGUAGUAUUUUGUUAUGGCAGCCUAGGAGGCCAAUACACCACCUAACCAAUUAUUUUGUUUUGUUUUCUUUAUUUCUCGUUGUUCUCCUAUUGACACUUUUGUAUGGUGUCUUACUGUCAUUUCAUGGUGACCCUCACACACAUUAUUGCAUUUGGGUCUUGUGAGGUAGGUAGGCCAAUGGGCAGCCCGUUUAACCCAAGACCGAGGCUCAGAGAUUUCAGGGCACUUGCACAAGUUCACCCCACAAGGCAGUAAAUUGGGAAAAAAACUAGUUUCUACUGAGGGCUCGUUAUGUGCUUUCCUCACAUUGUCUCAGGACACCUAUACAACCGACCUGAGGGUUAGUUGCUGAGCAAUUAUACUAAUAAUCAGACAACCAUCAAUGUGAAAAGGAU
ensembl:lncRNA